UUUAAUAUUUAAUUCCUUUUUCUUUAGCAGUUAAGGCCUGCAGAAUCUCCUGUUUCUUUUUUUCUCUUAUUUUUUUUCUGGUGUGAGCUUUGUUGGAUUAAAAAGCCUCUCAUUACCGCCUUGCUCACAUCCCAUACUGUAUUUAAAUCUGUUUCUUUAUUAUGGUUGAGAUCAAAAUACUCCUGUAGGGACCGUAGCCCCUUAUUUACAAUUUCUGCGUUCUGUAAUAUCGUGUCAUUUAACAGUAUUUUAGGGUGUUGUGUGGGCAGGAGAGGGGAUUAUUCCCUGCAGAUUUGUUGUGUGCGAUACUCAUGUGUACCAUGCUUCUCUUCUGCACACAGUUUGGCAAUAAAAGUAUGAACACAGGAAACCUCAGAUUUAUAGUAAUGUAUAGAUGUUGAAGCUUCAUAACAUAAAUAGGUCACAGAAGCACUGCAAUUGAUACAGCAUGUAGGGCAUCACACACACACACACACACACACCCCUAUUUGAGUUUUUAAAUGCGGGGAUGCAUUGGACAGACUGAUUUGCUUGCUUAGAAUUCAUAGAAUUAUGGGAUUCAUUUUAAAGAAAUACAAUGCAUACCUGUUGAAUAGUGGGUAGACAUAGCAGACGACGCAUCGAUUUCUCCAAAGCAGCUCUUUAUUUGUAAGCUGGAACAGAAGUGAACAGCAAACAGCUCAGCCGGCCGGCUUUUAUAGGCAGCCGGCUGUCAACAUUGUAGCAACAACAAC